rnacentral:rRNA from 1 species
GACGAACGCUGGCGGCGUGCCUAAUACAUGCAAGUUGAGCGCUGAAGGUUGGUACUUGUGCCAACUGGAUGAGCAGCGAACGGGUGAGUAACGCGUGGGGAAUCUGCCUUUGAGCGGGGGACAACCUUUGGAAACGAAUGCUAAUACCGCAUAAAAACUUUAAACACAAGUUUUAAGUUUGAAAGAUGCAAUUGCAUCACUCAAAGAUGAUCCCGCGUUGUAUUAGCUAGUUGGUGAGGUAAAGGCUCACCAAGGCGAUGAUACAUAGCCGACCUGAGAGGGCGAUCAGCCACAUUGGGACUGAGACACGGCCCAUAGUGCUACGGGAGGCAGCAGUAGGGAAUCGUGGGCAAGGGACGAAAGUCUGACCGAGAAGCGCCGCAUGAGUGAAGAAGGAUGUCGGAUCGUAAAACUCUGUUGGUAGAGAAGAACGUUGGUGAGAGUGGAAAGCUCAGCAAGUGACGGUAACUACUCAGAAAGGGACGGCUAACUACGUG